UAUUCUGCAGAAAAUAAAUUUAAUCCAACUUUGAUGAACAAAGUAAUUUAUUAUAAACAAAAACAAGAAAACAAAUAUUAAUUUGACAUGUUUCUGUAUUCUGCUUAUUCAAAUGCAAAACCUUUUUCUUCAACAUGUUUACUUGCAAUCGAUAAUUUUUAACUGGUUCUUUGUCAGGUACUAUUUAACAGGUAAAAGGUAUACUAUUCUCAGAAAACAGUCUUACUGAUCGGAAUCAAUGAUGCGCUUUGUAGAUAAGGUAACUUUACAGGACAGUACGUCACCUCGAAAGAUUCAGCUCCAAUUGUUUAAGAGACAGUUUGGCACCGUAGGAGACAUAUUUAGUAGACAUGAUUGAUAGACAGUUUGACAAGGCAGGAGACAUUUCGGGACCAAGACAAAUCAGUACCUCAUUUUGCUACCUUAUUCUGUUCCUUAUAAUAAAUACCACACUAGUAAUUUUUUCACAAAAAUAUUUUUUUUUUAUUUACCAUAAAAUUCACAAAAUCA
rnacentral:lncRNA from 1 species